rnacentral:lncRNA from 1 species
UGACAGAGGAUUUACUUUCAGAGGCCCCGCUAAGGAUAACCAAAAAAGGGCAUGUAGCAAGACACUUUUGGCAGCUCGCACGAAUUUUCGGAGGUUUUUUUAGCUCUUGGUUUUCUGAUGAGUGGCUUCCUGAGCAUGCCUGGGGAAUGACAGGCAUCUCUGCAGGCAGGCUGGACCCACCUUGGCUUGAGCGCAUCGGAAUAAAGCCAGGACAAUGCAUUCCUGCCAAUUGUAAACAUCGGGGAUAUGUAUCCACUUAGCAUUGGCUUUUUGGGAGGGGCCAAGGGAAAGCUGCGCUUUUAUUGAAUAGAGCUGUGUGUGUCUGUGUGUGUGUGUGUGUGUGAGAGGCUGCUGCCGUGCCUUUCUCCAGCCGGGCUUUAUUCAUUUCCUUCCUCCGAGCUGGGAACUUCGCAGCCCGAGUGCCUGUAAUAACCAUUGGGAUACUCAAAGAAUCCCUUGGGAGCUGAAGAGGCAGCAUCUUCCAGGCUCAGGGGCAUCACAUCUGGUAUCACCUUGUUUUUCUGGAGUCAUCAUUUUGAUCCAUCAAGCAGCUGGUUUGUUACUGAAAAGCUCAGAAUAUUUCCU